GGAAUUUUGGGCAAUGGGCGAAAGCCUGACCCAGCAACGCCGCGUGAAGGAUGAAAUCCCUCGGGGAUGUAAACUUCGCAAGAUUGGGGAAGAAUUAGUAGGGGUUAAUACCCCCUAUGAUGACGGUACCUUUUGUAAGCUCCGGCUAACUCCGUGCCAGCAGCCGCGGUAAUACGGGGGGAGCAAGCGUUGUUCGGAUUUACUGGGCGUAAAGGGCGCGUAGGCGGUCAGCACAAGUCAGUUGUGAAAUCUCCGGGCUUAACUCGGAAAGGUCAACUGAUACUGUGCGACUAGAGUGCAGAAGGGGCAACUGGAAUUCUCGGUGUAGCGGUGAAAUGCGUAGAUAUCGAGAGGAACACCUGCGGCGAAGGCGGGUUGCUGGGCUGACACUGACGCUGAGGCGCGAAAGCCAGGGGAGCGAACGGGAUUAGAUACCCCGGUAGUCCUGGCCUUAAACGAUGGAUGCUUGGUGUCUGGAGUUAUAUAGUCUCCGGGUGCCGCAGCUAACGCGUUAAGCAUCCCGCCUGGGGAGUACGGUCGCAAGACUGAAACUCAAAGGAAUUGACGGGGACCCGCACAAGCGGUGGAGCAUGUGGUUCAAUUCGACGCAACGCGAAGAACCUUACCUGGGCUAGAAUGCCUCUGACAACUCCAGAGAUGGAGCCUCCUAGGGAAACCUAGGCAGAGUGCAAGGUGCUGCAUGGCUUC
rnacentral:rRNA from 1 species